rnacentral:rRNA from 1 species
GCGGACGAGUGAGUAACACGUAGGCAACCUGCCUGUAAGACUGGGAUAACUACCGGAAACGGUAGCUAAGACCGGAUAAGUGAUUCUCUUGCAUGAGAGGAUCAAGAAACACGGGGCAACCUGUGGCUUACAGAUGGGCCUGCGGCGCAUUAGCUAGCUGGUGGGGUAACGGCUCACCAAGGCGACGAUGCGUAGCCGACCUGAGAGGGUGAUCGGCCACACUGGGACUGAGACACGGCCCAGACUCCUACGGGAGGCAGCAGUAGGGAAUCUUCCGCAAUGGACGCAAGUCUGACGGAGCAACGCCGCGUGAGUGAUGAAGGUUUUCGGAUCGUAAAGCUCUGUUGUCAGGGAAGAACGUCGCGGAGAGUAACUGCUCUGCGAAUGACGGUACCUGAGAAGAAAGCCCCGGCUAACUACGUGUCAGCAGCCGCGGUAAUACGUAGGGGGCAAGCGUUGUCCAGAAUUAUUGGGCGUAAAGCGCGCGCAGGCGGCCGCUUAAGUCUGGUGUUUAAGCCC